rnacentral:rRNA from 1 species
CGCGUAGGCGGCCCGAUUAGUCCGCUGUGAAAGUCAACGGCUCAACUGUUGAAUGCCGGUGGAUACUGUCGGGCUAGAGUCCGGAAGAGGCAAGUGGAAUUCCUGGUGUAGCGGUGGAAUGCGCAGAUAUCAGGAGGAACACCUAUAGCGAAGGCAGCUUGCUGGGACGGUACUGACGCUAAGGCGCGAAAGCGUGGGGAGCGAACA